GAUGAACGCUGGCGGCGUGCCUAAUACAUGCAAGUCGAGCGAACGGACGAGAAGCUUGCUUCUCUGAUGUUAGCGGCGGACGGGUGAGUAACACGUGGAUAACCUACCUAUAAGACUGGGAUAACUUCGGGAAACCGGAGCUAAUACCGGAUAAUAUUUUGAACCGCAUGGUUCAAAAGUGAAAGACGGUCUUGCUGUCACUUAUAGAUGGAUCCGCGCUGCAUUAGCUAGUUGGUAAGGUAACGGCUUACCAAGGCAACGAUGCAUAGCCGACCUGAGAGGGUGAUCGGCCACACUGGAACUGAGACACGGUCCAGACUCCUACGGGAGGCAGCAGUAGGGAAUCUUCCGCAAUGGGCGAAAGCCUGACGGAGCAACGCCGCGUGAGUGAUGAAGGUCUUUGGAUCGUAAAACUCUGUUAUUAGGGAAGAACAUAUGUGUAAGUAACUGUGCACAUCUUGACGGUACCUAAUCAGAAAGCCACGGCUAACUACGUGCCAGCAGCCGCGGUAAUACGUAGGUGGCAAGCGUUAUCCGGAAUUAUUGGGCGUAAAGCGCGCGUAGGCGGUUUUUUAAGUCUGAUGUGAAAGCCCACGGCUCAACCGUGGAGGGUCAUUGGAAACUGGAAAACUUGAGUGCAGAAGAGGAAAGUGGAAUUCCAUGUGUAGCGGUGAAAUGCGCAGAGAUAUGGAGGAACACCAGUGGCGAAGGCGACUUUCUGGUCUGUAACUGACGCUGAUGUGCGAAAGCGUGGGGAUCAAACAGGAUUAGAUACCCUGGUAGUCCACGCCGUAAACGAUGAGUGCUAAGUGUUAGGGGGUUUCCGCCCCUUAGUGCUGCAGCUAACGCAUUAAGCACUCCGCCUGGGGAGUACGACCGCAAGGUUGAAACUCAAAGGAAUUGACGGGGACCCGCACAAGCGGUGGAGCAUGUGGUUUAAUUCGAAGCAACGCGAAGAACCUUACCAAAUCUUGACAUCCUUUGACAACUCUAGAGAUAGAGCCUUCCCCUUCGGGGGACAAAGUGACAGGUGGUGCAUGGUUGUCGUCAGCUCGUGUCGUGAGAUGUUGGGUUAAGUCCCGCAACGAGCGCAACCCUUAAGCUUAGUUGCCAUCAUUAAGUUGGGCACUCUAAGUUGACUGCCGGUGACAAACCGGAGGAAGGUGGGGAUGACGUCAGAUCAUCAUGCCCCUUAUGAUUUGGGCUACACACGUGCUACAAUGGACAAUACAAAGGGCAGCGAAACCGCGAGGUCAAGCAAAUCCCACAAAGUUGUUCUCAGUUCGGAUUGUAGUCUGCAACUCGACUACAUGAAGCUGGAAUCGCUAGUAAUCGUAGAUCAGCAUGCUACGGUGAAUACGUUCCCGGGUCU
rnacentral:rRNA from 1 species